UGGGGAAUAUUGCACAAUGGGCGCAAGCCUGAUGCAGCCAUGCCGCGUGUAUGAAGAAGGCCUUCGGGUUGUAAAGUACUUUCAGCGGGGAGGAAGGUGUUGAGGUUAAUAACCUCAGCAAUUGACGUUACCCGCAGAAGAAGCACCGGCUAACUCCGUGCCAGCAGCCGCGGUAAUACGGAGGGGGCAAGCGUUAAUCGGAAUUACUGGGCGUAAAGCGCACGCAGGCGGUCUGUCAAGUCGGAUGUGAAAUCCCCGGGCUCAACCUGGGAACUGCAUUCGAAACUGGCAGGCUAGAGUCUUGUAGAGGGGGGUAGAAUUCCAGGUGUAGCGGUGAAAUGCGUAGAGAUCUGGAGGAAUACCGGUGGCGAAGGCGGCUCCCUGGACAAAGACUGACGCUCAGGUGCGAAAGCGUGGGGAGCAAACA
rnacentral:rRNA from 1 species